CAUGGACAUGGCGACUCACUUACACAUUUACCCUUCUCAUCUUCAUCUCCUGUGUAGUACACUCAUAGACACACCCCUCCCCUUUCCGCACCCCUUCUUUCCCAUGCUCCCCCCUUCUUUAGCGUUGUUAAAAUUUAUGUGCUGUCAUCCACCCCCCUAAAUUAAGAAAAAUCUCAAAAUUUGUCAAAAAGACAAUACAAAUCUAAAUAUUUAUCUGAAAACUAACAAUGAAGAAAUUCAUUCCAAAUCCUAUAGAUGCAUAGAUUUUUUUUUAAGGCAAAUUAUAAUUUUUUUCACUUUCAGUCCUAGAAAGAAGAAUUAUUUUAAAUUUAAAAACCAAUGCCCAUCCUAAGUCCCUCCAAAGUAAAACUUGUUAAAGUGCAGAUUUUUUUCUUUUCAUGUUAUGUGGUGUGAAUGUUUGUGUUGUUGCCUCCCUGUAUCAUCCUCUGUUGUAAAUUACUAUAUCUGAAAAACUAGACAUUUUGCUCAAAAGUUUUUAAGAAAUAACAACAAUAACAACAACAACAGCAACUACAACAACAAAAAAAAGCAACUUUCAAGAAUGUGGCAAUUCUAUUUGUCCAAGAGCAUUCUUACACAACUUUCUUUUGUAAAUUUUUUCUUCCAUGCCAAAAAACAUGCGGGCAAUUUGUUGAUGAGGUGAAUUAGUUAUUCCUCUUCUUGUAGAAGACCCUUUAGCUACCCCUCCUAUUGCUACUCGUGUACC
rnacentral:lncRNA from 1 species